AUUGAACGCUGGCGGCAUGCCUUACACAUGCAAGUCGAACGGUAACAGGUCUUCGGAUGCUGACGAGUGGCGAACGGGUGAGUAAUACAUCGGAACGUGCCUAGUAGUGGGGGAUAACUACUCGAAAGAGUGGCUAAUACCGCAUGAGAUCUACGGAUGAAAGCAGGGGAUCGCAAGACCUUGUGCUACUAGAGCGGCCGAUGGCAGAUUAGGUAGUUGGUGGGAUAAAAGCUUACCAAGCCGACGAUCUGUAGCUGGUCUGAGAGGACGAUCAGCCACAAUGGGACUGCGACACGGCCCAGACUCCUACGGGAGGCAGCAGUGGGGAAUUUUGGACAUUGGGCGCAAGCCUGAUCCAGCAAUGCCGCGUGCAGGAUGAAGGCCUUCGGGUUGUAAACUGCUUUUGUACGGAACGAAAAGCCCUGGGUUAAUACCCUGGGGUCAUGACGGUACCGUAAGAAUAAGCACCGGCUAACUACGUGCCAGCCGCCGCGGUAAAAC
rnacentral:rRNA from 1 species